GAAGCGUAACCUACGGCUUUAAGUGUUUUCGACUUUUGCAUUAUAAAAGGAUGCAGAAAACACUACGCAAAUAUUCCUUCAAAAAUUUGUAAUUGAAACAGUUCUCAAUCGGAAAAAAUGAAGGGAUUUAUUUUAUCGGCUGUGAUUAGUCUGUCUGUACUGUUUGCGACUGCUUAUGCAGAAUGUACGGAAGAGGGUGAAGACUGUACCCUCUCCCUCGGUCAACAGGGCGUUUGUGUGAGACCUAUAUGCGUAGAUAGUCCUUGUGAUCUGAUUUGUAUCGUGGAAACAAAAAAUAUAGGCAGGGUCCGGCAGUAGUAAAGUUCAACAUGAAAAAGAAGGAACAGCGAUCAACAAGACCAUCUACCAAUAUAACCAUCUACUGUUUUACAAUCUAAAUGAAUUGUUUAAUAUCAUAAAAAACACAUUUUCAAAAUUUUGUAUUGCGUGUCUUAAAAACUGAUUACCAUCGUAUAAUUUUGUCACUUCUGUACAAUAUUGUGCCUUUCUAUUCUGGUUUGAUCAAUAAAAUUGA